rnacentral:rRNA from 1 species
UACGGAGGGGGCUAGCGUUGUUCGGAAUUACUGGGCGUAAAGCGCACGUAGGCGGACUGUUAAGUCGGGGGUGAAAUCCUGGGGCUCAACCUCAGAAUUGCCUCCGAUACUGGCAGUCUCGAGUGCGGGAGAGGUGAGUGGAAUUCCCAGUGUAGAGGUGAAAUUCGUAGAUAUUGGGAAGAACACCAGUGGCGAAGGCGGCUCACUGGCCCGUAACUGACGCUGAGGUGCGAAAGCGUGGGGAGCGAGCCGG